GACGAACGCUGGCGGCGUGCUUAACACAUGCAAGUCGAACGGAAAGGCCCUGCUUUUGUGGGGUGCUCGAGUGGCGAACGGGUGAGUAACACGUGAGUAACCUGCCCUUGACUUUGGGAUAACUUCAGGAAACUGGGGCUAAUACCGGAUAGGAGCUCCUGCUGCAUGGUGGGGGUUGGAAAGUUUCGGCGGUUGGGGAUGGACUCGCGGCUUAUCAGCUUGUUGGUGGGGUAGUGGCUUACCAAGGCUUUGACGGGUAGCCGGCCUGAGAGGGUGACCGGCCACAUUGGGACUGAGAUACGGCCCAGACUCCUACGGGAGGCAGCAGUGGGGAAUAUUGCACAAUGGGCGGAAGCCUGAUGCAGCAACGCCGCGUGCGGGAUGACGGCCUUCGGGUUGUAAACCGCUUUCGCCUGUGACGAAGCGUGAGUGACGGUAAUGGGUAAAGAAGCACCGGCUAACUACGUGCCAGCAGCCGCGGUGAUACGUAGGGUGCGAGCGUUGUCCGGAUUUAUUGGGCGUAAAGGGCUCGUAGGUGGUUGAUCGCGUCGGAAGUGUAAUCUUGGGGCUUAACCCUGAGCGUGCUUUCGAUACGGGUUGACUUGAGGAAGGUAGGGGAGAAUGGAAUUCCUGGUGGAGCGGUGGAAUGCGCAGAUAUCAGGGGGAACACCAGUGGCGAAGGCGGUUCUCUGGGCCUUUCCUGACGCUGAGGAGCGAAAGCGUGGGGAGCGAACAGGCUUAGAUACCCUGGUAGUCCACGCUGUAAACGGUGGGUACUAGGUGUGGGGUCCAUUCCACGGGUUCCGUGCCGUAGCUAACGCUUUAAGUACCCCGCCUGGGGAGUACGGCCGCAAGGCUAAAACUCAAAGGAAUUGACGGGGCCCCGCACAAGCGGCGGAGCAUGCGGAUUAAUUCGAUGCAACGCGUAGAACCUUACCUGGGUUUGACAUGGAUCGGGAGUGCUCAGAGAUGGGUGUGCCUCUUUUGGGGUCGGUUCACAGGUGGUGCAUGGCUGUCGUCAGCUCGUGUCGUGAGAUGUUGGGUUAAGUCCCGCAACGAGCGCAACCCUUGUUCACUGUUGCCAGCACGUUAUGGUGGGGACUCAGUGGAGACCGCCGGGGUCAACUCGGAGGAAGGUGGGGAUGACGUCAAGUCAUCAUGCCCCUUAUGUCCAGGGCUUCACGCAUGCUACAAUGGCUGGUACAGAGAGUGGCGAGCCUGUGAGGGUGAGCGAAUCUCGGAAAGCCGGUCUCAGUUCGGAUUGGGGUCUGCAACUCGACCUCAUGAAGUCGGAGUCGCUAGUAAUGGCAGAUCAGCAACGCUGCGGUGAAUACGUUCCCGGG
rnacentral:rRNA from 1 species